CUCAAAGUGGGGUUUUUGACUUUUUGCCCCAGAAUGACUUUUGUAGCUUGUUACAAAGUAGGUUCCUGGGCCAUCCCACAUUGACUGAGUUAAUAUCCUCUCAGAUGAGUUUUAUUUAAGCACAAUAAAGUUUGAACAUCACUAAUUUAAGGUUUGAUACAUAUUUUGCAUAGUCUUGCUCUGAGGUUGAGAUUAAUUUAAAUGAAAGCUAAGAUAAAAAUAAACCUAUUUUUCAUGUUCUUGGAUAAUAGAAUAGAGUCUCUGAUUUCUGAAAGUUGUACAUAAAUUUCUAUAUAUUAGAAUUAAGUGGGAUCUAAGUUUGAUUUCCUGAAAGAUUAGAUAGAAUAAAGGCCAAAAGCUUUGAAAUUAUAUUUUUAAGACAGAAAAAAAUCAAGCAUUUGCCACAUAAUGCAGUUAAUUUGUAGUCAUGCUCACUGAGGCCCACUUUCUGGAACAUAUGUAUUAUCUAUAAGCUUCCAUAAUCUCUCCUAGAAAUGUGUUACUCAACUGGUAAAUACCAGUUCUCUAAAAACUACCGUAAGAUCUAGUCAUGAGAUGUUAAAAGCAUUUGAACAUGUUAUGCUGGUAGAGUUCUUUUUCAAAGUCAGUCAGUGAUUAUUUGAAUUUAUUUGUCAGCACUAAUAUUCCUGUGAAAAAUGUCCUUGAAAAUUAUUACAAUAAGUUUUCCACAAAGGAUAGAAUGUUCAGAACAUUUCAGGUUAGCAAAUUAUUCGACUAUGUAUAAGUACAAUAUCACAUAUAAACAAUUGUAACUAUAUUUUUUAUGAAUUGAAGUUAAAGUUGUUGUGAGAUAUUAUAUAAUGUAUUGGCAAAUCUCCAAAGACCAGAGUUCAAGUACUGAUACAAUGAAUAAUAGUUGCAUGACCUUUGUUAACUGGAUGAACCUUUCUGAAUGUCCAUUUCCUCAGCUGUAAAAUUGGAAUAAUGUGAUUAAUGUAGAGAAGAAUUGUUAUAAAGAAUAAAGGGGAUAUUUGAUGAAAACAAAACAUGCUUUGCAAAUAUUAGCUAUUAUUUAUAUUUCACAUUGCACUAUUGAACUUUCCACUUAUAAUACCCUAGCAUAAAUUCUGAUAUUUAUGUAUUCAUUUACUUAUUAAUAAAUAAGAAUUUUU
rnacentral:lncRNA from 1 species